UGGGGAAUAUUGGGCAAUGGGCGAAAGCCUGACCCAGCGACGCCGCGUGGGGGAAGAAGGCCUUCGGGUUGUAAACCCCUUUUGCAGGGGACGACACAGGACGGUACCCUGCGAAUAAGCCACGGCUAACUCUGUGCCAGCAGCCGCGGUAAGACAGAGGUGGCAAGCGUUGCUCGGAUUCACUGGGCUUAAAGGGCGCGUAGGUGGUCUUGUAAGUCAAAGGUGGAAUUCCACAGCUUAACUGUGGAACUGCCUUUGAUACUGCAAGGCUUGAGUCAGGUAGAGGAGGGCGGAAUUCCCGGUGUAGCGGUGAAAUGCGUAGAUAUCGGGAGGAAGGCCGGUGGCGAAGGCGGCCCUCUGGGCCUGUACUGACACUGAGGCGCGAAAGCGUGGGGAGCAAACA
rnacentral:rRNA from 1 species